UCAUUUUGUCCUUUGAUAUCUGUAAUUUGCUGUUUUCACACCAGGUAUUAAUUUUACUAAGUACAUUGUUAAUUUUUGUCUUUAGUUCGUCAUGGCUUUUAUAGAGACGACCAGAUAGAUACGCAGUACUGAGGCAGGAUGGUAGUGCUAGAAUGACAAGACCCAUGUCCAUUUGAGAAGCAGCCACUGACUAGUGAUUCUACAGCAGGGAACAUUUUAAAAGCCAUAAGCUUUCUGGAUUUACCUCAAGACUCCAGGGAGUAUGCAUUCCUCGAAAUAAUAGCUCUUUGAGAAGGAGAAAAACUUGCUUGAUGCAUAACUCUCAUUGACAUUAAUUUCAUGACCAAACCGCCCUGUCACAUCUGAGACCUUCUUCUCAAGGAACUCAGUAAACUCCUCAAAUGUUGCACACCCAACUGAGCUAGGGUCUUCUUUGAUAUUUUUUAGGGGGUUAAGAAGCAAGGAAGAUGAAAUAUCUGUUUCAAAAAUAGCGUGACAACACUGGGUCUUACUGAUGAAUGUGCGGACUAGCUUGCCAUCAAUUGUGUUAUUGUCCAAAGAGGAGAAGAGUUGAGAUAACUCGUCUUCUUUAUAGAUGUCUGGGAUGUUGGUGUAUCUGUGUUUGAGGUAAUGUAACCUGUAUGUCAGUAUUCUUGGUGGCAGCCUCCAAUUUUGUCUGUCAAGGUUAAGUUUACUAUUUGUGUGCAUAAUUAUCUUGUCUCGGGACACCUUGGUUGUGCAUGAUGGGGAUACUUGGGGAAUUGGAUGGAACUAGGGCGUGCAAACGGGAGGAUAGGGGGGAUUGGCAGCGGUCGUUUUGACUGAGGGCAAUGUUAUGAUUGAACUGACAAGUUGAUCCGGCAACACGGCAGACUCGAUUGAAAACAUAGGAUAUGUAAAUAACAAUGAUAUAAAAAGGACAUAUGUAAAAUAAAUAAAGAAUUGAGUUCAGUUUCUUGCUUGUCGGUCACUGUUGCCGGAGCCCAUUUUCUAUGCUUUGCUGCAACAUGAUGUUGUCUCCUACUUCCAAAGGUCUCAAAAUUCUCUUUGGACUUCCUGCAUACUUUUGUUGAUGGUCUCUCAAUUUUUGGUAAUUUUUUGUUGUGUCAAACAGUGGUUUUAACUGUUGUCAAAUGUAUGUCGAAAGAGUUCUCACAGAUCUUCCCAUAAGCAUUUGGGUCGGAGUUGGCAAGUCAUACUUAGGUGUGUUGUUGAACUCCAUCAAAGCCAGAUUGGGAUCUCUUCCUGACUUCACAGCUUUAAUUAUCAGUCCUUUGAUGGUUUGAAUUGUCCUCUCAACUUGUCCAUUAGAUCUUGGAUAUUUGGGACACUGGAGGUUUGGUGUUUGAAUUCAUAUUUCUGAGCAAAUUUUUGAAUCCAGUAGACUUAAAAGGGGGUCCAUUAUCCGAAACUAGAGUUCUUGUAAUUCCAUGAAUCCUGAAAAUGGUCUUCAACUGCAUGAUGGUUUUGGUUUCUCUUUUGCUUGAUAAUUUCCGGAUUUCAACAAACUUUGAGUGGUAAUUGACAACCAAGAUGGAACUGGUUCCACUCACCUCCAUGAAAUAUACAGCAAUUUUUUCCUGCAAAGCCUUGUCUUGUAUUCCAUACACAAUGCGAUCUCUAAUUAAACUAUCCUUUUGUGAUUCAAAUUCACAUGAUGUGGAUAAUCCUUUUAGUUCUGUUAUAAAACUAUCGAUGGAUUCACCAUCCUUCUGUGUCCCUGAAAAAAAUUUGAAUCUUUCAAAAAUGAUGUUCUUUUUAGGCUCGCAAAAAUCAUUAAAUUUUUUAUUACUAGAUCAAAAUUUUCUGCUUCAUCUUCUUUUAAAUGAAAUGUGUUGAAAACUUCCAAGGCUUCUUCGCCAAUAAAAUUUAAUAAAAUGGCAACUUUCAGUUUAUCAGGCUUUGUGGCUUUUUCUGUUGCUUCAAGAUAAAGCAUUAAUCGCUGUUUGAAAUUCGCCAAUUUUCCGCUACACAUUACCGUGCAAGGCAAGUUCGCUAGGCCUAACAAAGUCCAUGUUUUCUUUUUUUUUUUUCACUAAUAUUUGUCAAUAAUAUAUUUAUUUGAAAAAGUACUUACUUUUCUGCUGUCACCAUGUUGUUUGUUGUUUUUUAACAACAUAAACAACAGGUAAGGUGAAAGGGGUUACAUUUUGUAUUGAAAUGUUUGGGUUUGGAGCGUGGGCGGUUAUUAUGGGUGGGUAGGGUUUGAGCAGGUGAAUGGGUGGGUGGUGGCAGAAGUAUUGGGAAUAUGAGGGGAGGGUGGCGAGAGGGCUGUGGGAAGUUGCUGAGUAGGAGGAUGAGAGGGAGAGUUUUGGGUAUUGUUAGGAGGAUUGGAUGAAGUGUGUGGGGUGGAAAUGUUCUCAGUGGCAGUAACUGAAGGACUUUCGGUGGUGGAGCUACUAAGUAUGUUAUUAAAAUGUUUGUUAAUCAAACCUUGGUAGGUGUCCGUAAUGAAUUUGAGCUGGUUGUUUUUGUGUCCAAGUAAGGCUUUAAAAUUAGGGAUAAUACCAUCGUUUGGUUGCUCAGUCAUGGUAGGGUCACAUUUAUUAGAUUUAUGGGUGUCAAUUAGGGUCCUCUGUGUGUCAUUAGCCCAUUGGAGACAAAUGGAGUCAGAGGAGGACAACAGAUGCGAAAGCAGGGUAAUAUGGAAAGGGACGUUUCUUAUAAAUUAAUAGGGGGGUACUGCGUCCGGAAUUCUUAUCAGGGGGGAAACGACUCACCAAUGAUGGAGUUGUAGAAUUAUCCGUAGACCAGGGAGGCAGUGGGGAGGUUUCUUGGUGGGCUUGUGUGCCGGGCAUCUGGGAAGAAGGCGGCGGAGUGAUGGAAGGGUCGUGGCCAGGGUGAGGUGAUAGGUUCUGGAGGGCAUCCAUCCUGCCCAGGAUUGGGUUGAGGAUGCUAGAGGAAUUUGAAAGAUUAGGAGGGGCUAAUGGGCUAUGAUUACCACUUCUCAGGUGCAUAUGGGGCUAUUUGUAGCCGUUGCGGCUGCCCAGAAGAGCUCAAGAUUAUUGGUGAGGCAGCAAGGUUCUGUGCAUUUGCUUUUUGGGCAGGAAAGUUAUCGAUCAAAGAUAAAAUAAAAUAAUUAAUUUAUUAGUUUUUAUCAAUAUCAAAAAGAUAUUCGAAAACUUCAGGUUGACACAGCAAUUUUGGGGGGGAAAUGGCGGAAAAUAAGGAAGGGUGAAAGGAGGAUAUAUAUAGCCGAGCAUCUGGCUUUAAGAAGACACCAGAAGGUACAUGGCCUCCGAGGAUGAUGCCUGCUACCAGUCUGAUCCAUUUGUAUAUGCUGUUAAAUAAUUUCUCUGAUCGUAUAAACCAAUUGUGUCAAGUCCUUUCUUUUUGAGUAUGUUUUUGUUCUCUUUUUUAUUGCAGGGUUCAUUCAGGUUAAGAUUGAUGAUUACAUUUGAUGCAAUGGGGUAGGAAAUAUUGGUUCUCAUUGAAUUGGAAAGUCCUUGUGACAAAAGUUACUAUUACGGGUUAACACACAAAGUUGCAAUAAUCUAGGGCCUAGAGUAAUGGUAACUAAACACACAAAAAUCGCACACUCAAAAAAAAAAAAAAAGAUAAAUAAUAAAUCACAAUUUGUUAGAUAAAAUAAAAAAAAAACACACACACACAGUACUUAUCUUUAUUGUUUUUUUUUUUUUAUAAUCAAAGUAAGUAUUUAUUUACUUCAACAAAACAUUGUAGUUUUACGGCCUAAAUGUGUAAAUAAAGACUGUUAAAUUUUCAGCUUUCUUUUAACUAAAAUAUCUCCAUAAAUAAAAACAAAUAUAUUGAAGAAGGUACAAAGUGACAUGGAUGGAUUCAGAUGUGGCCCCUUGAUGCUCCUCCGGGUUAAUGAAGGGAACGAGGAUUUCCCGCUCGAUGCCGUCGUCCCCAAUAUACUUUAACGUAAUGAAUUGCUGACGAUCCUGUGUGGUCACCACACGGUCCAACACCACUAUUUUGCUGGGGUCGAUGCGUUGGUUGCCUUGUUGCAUUGGUAGAGAUUGGACCGGGGUUACACAGGUAUGCGAGGAGAUAGCUAGACACGGAUAAAGCACGUGGAGAACACUUUAAGCGUCUCCACACGAUAAUCCACCACACUUCUUUCUCGCAAUUCCAUAGCCCCCUUAUAUAUACAGACAUGGCCACAUUCGUCCAAUGAGAAGGUGGGAGAGAUUGGUCCACUAUCAAACAAAAACAAAAUCUUUCCCACUAAAACCUGAGAUAAGAUUAAAAACAUGCAAAUAUUUGUCAAUAUAAUUUGACACUUGUGUUUCAUAUUUAUGCCCUUUCUAAUAUUGUUGUCGUAUUGAAGUGUUGAAGAUCUUUUGAGUCUUUCUUUUUGUGUCCAGUUUAAAUAGGUUGGUUCUAUGGGAUAUGUGUUCAGUUUCUUUACUUUUUAAGCUAUUGGUGAGUUUUAAUGUUUUUAAUUGUCCUCUGCUUUCGAGUAGGACUAGGCCACAUUCUCUCUGAAUUUUCUCAUUGUUGAUGGAUGAAACAGCACCAGUGAUUAUUUUGGCCGCUUUUGCUUGAACACUGUCUAGUCUUCCUUUUAGUGAUGAACUUGAAUAGUGCUAAGAUUUUGCGAGGUUCGCCUCUGAGUGAUGUAGAGCCUUUUGAACUUGGCGUGUUGGCUCUAAUUUGAGGAAGCUUGGCUGAACUUCAAGUUGUUAGAAUAAGUGUGUGGAAGGUUCAUCUCUCCAAAUUAUUAUCUCUCUGAUAUUUUUGAGGAGGUGAAAAAACAUUUGAAAUUAUUGAAAUUAUUCUUCAUAGUAUUCCUUAAUUUUCUUUCAUUAUAGUUAGCAAUUUCUUUAAUGCUUGAUAAAUUAAAUCUAUUGUAGUCUAUUUCAUUUUUCAAUAUGUUGGAUUCUAUGUAAUCUGUGUGUCAAACAAUAUGGUUUCCAUUUAUAAGCAAGAAAGCCAAACUAAAUUCCCUGCAAUAUAAUAUUCUAAAACACUGCAUACAGGCCUAUACCGCAACAUCGUCAAACUGUACACAUAUACUAACACAAAUACCAAAUUAUACCAAAUUUUUGUCUGCAUUCUAGACCCCAUGCUUUCUUUAUUAAACUGAGUAGGUAACUGCUAGCUCUAGUAGUUUUGUCGACGACUUCAUUAAUGUGUGACAUGAAGUCCAACUUGUUCCUGCUUUGAUGAUUUUUCAAGGUAAAUCCCAAGAUCUUAAGGGUUUCGACAGGUCUAGCUAUAAUGCUACUAAAUGGUAGUGCUAGAAUGACAAGACCCAUGUCCAUUUGAGAAGCAGCCACUGACUAGUGAUUCUACAGCAGGGAACAUUUGAAAAGCCAUAAGCUUUCUGGAUUUUCCUCAAGACUCCAGGGAGUAUGCAUUCCUCGAAAUAAUAGCUCUUUGAGAAGGAGAAAAACUCGCUUGAUGCAUAACUCUCAUUGACAUUAAUUUCAUGACCAAACCGCCCUGUCACAUCUGAGACCUUCUUCUCAAGGAACUCGGUAAACUCCUCAAAUGUUGCACACCCAACUGAGCUAGGGUCUUCUUUGAUAUUUUUUAGGGGGUUAAGAAGCGAGGAAGAUGAAAUAUCUGUUUCAAAAAUAGCGUGACAACUCUGGGUCUUACUGAUGAAUGUGCGUACUAGCUUGCCAUCAAUUGUGUUAUUGUCCAAAGAGGAGAAGAGUUGAGAUAACUCGUCUUCUUUAUAGAUGUCUGGGAUGUUGGUGUAUCUGUGUUUGAGGUAAUGUAACCUGUAUGUCAGUAUUCUUGGUGGCAGCCUCCAAUUUUGUCUGUCAAGGUUAAGUUUACUAUUUGUGUGCAUAAUUAUUUUGUCUCGGGAUACCUUGGUUGUGCAUGAUGGGGAUACUUGGGGAAUUGGAUGGAACUAGGGCGUGCAAACGGGAGGAUAGGGGGGAUUGGCAGCGGUCGUUUUGACUGAGGGCAAUGUUAUGAUUGAACUGACAAGUUGAUCCGGCAACACGGCAGACUCGAUUGAAAACAUAGGAUAUGUAAAUAACAAUGAUAUAAAAAGGACAUAUGUAAAAUAAAUAAAGAAUUGAGUUCAGUUUCUUGCUAGGCGGUCACUGUUGCCGGAACCCAUUUUCUAUGCUUUUCCUGCAACAUGAUGUUGUCUCCUACUUCCAAAGGUCUCAAAAUUCUCUUUGGACUUCCUGCAUACUUUUGUUGAUGGUCUCUCAAUUUUUGGUAAUUUUUUGUUGUGUCAAACAGUGGUUUUAACUGUUGUCAAAUGUAUGUCGAAAGAGUUCUCACAGAUCUUUCCAUAAGCAUUUGGGUCGGAGUUGGCAAGUCAUACUUAGGUGUGUUGUUGAACUCCAUCAAAGCCAGAUUGGGAUCUCUUCCUGACUUCACAGCUUUAAUUAUCAGUCCUUUGAUGGUUUGAAUUGUCCUCUCAACUUGUCCAUUAGAUCUUGGAUAUUUGGGACACUGGAGGUUUGGUGUUUGAAUUCAUAUUUCUGAGCAAAUUUUUGAAUCCAGUAAAGUUAAAAGGGGGUCCAUUAUCCGAAACUAGAGUUCUUGGAAUUCCAUGAAUCCUGAAAAUGGUCUUCAACUGCAUGAUGGUUUUGGUUUCUCUUUUGCUUGAUAAUUUCCGGAUUUCAACAAACUUUGAGUGGUAAUUGACAACCAAGAUGGAACUGGUUCCACUCACCUCCAUGAAAUAUACAGCAAUUUUUUCCUGCAAAGCCUUGUCUUGUAUUCCAUACACAAUGCGAUCUCUAAUUAAACUAUCCUUUUGUGAUUCAAAUUCACAUGAUGUGGAUAAUCCUUUUAGUUCUGUUAUAAAACUAUCGAUGGAUUCACCAUCCUUCUGUGUCCCUGAAAAAAAUUUGAAUCUUUCAAAAAUGAUGUUCUUUUUAGGCUCGCAAAAAUCAUUAAAUUUGUUUAUUACUAGAUCAAAAUUUUCUGCUUCAUCUUCUUUUAAAUGAAAUGUGUUGAAAACUUCCAAGGCUUCUUCGCCAAUAAAAUUUAAUAAAAUGGCAACUUUCAGUUUAUCAGGCUUUGUGGCUUUUUCUGUUGCUUCAAGAUAAAGCAUUAAUCGCUGUUUGAAAUUCGCCAAUUUUCCGCUACACAUUACCGUGCAAGGCAAGUUCGCUAGGCCUAACAAAGUCCAUGUUUUCUUUUUUUUUUUCACUAAUAUUUGUCAAUAAUAUAUUUAUUUGAAAAAGUACUUACUUUUCUGCUGUCACCAUGUUGUUUGUUGUUUUUUAACAACAUAAACAACAGGUAAGGUGAAAGGGGUUACAUUUUGUAUCAAAAUGUUUGGGUUUGGAGCGUGGGCGGUUAUUAUGGGUGGGUAGGGUUUGAGCAGGUGAAUGGGUGGGUGGUGGCAGAAGUAUUGGGAAUAUGAGGGGAGGGUGGCGAGAGGGCUGUGGGAAGUUGCUGAGUAGGAGGAUGAGAGGGAGAGUUUUGGGUAUUGUUAGGAGGAUUGGAUGAGGUGUGUGGGGUGGAAAUGUUCUCAGUGGCAGUAACUGAAGGACUUUCGGUGGUGGAACUACUAAGUAUGUUAUUAAAAUGUUUGUUAAUCAAACCUUGGUAGGUGUCCGUAAUGAAUUUGAGCUGGUUGUUUUUGUGUCCAAGUAAGGCUUUAAAAUUAGGGAUAAUACCAUCGUUUGGUUGCUCAGUCAUGGUAGGGUCACAUUUAUUAGAUUUAUGGGUGUCAAUUAGGGUCCUCUGUGUGUCAUUAGCCCAUUGGAGACAAAUGGAGUCAGAGGAGGACAACAGAUACGAAAGCAGGGUAAUAUGGAAAGGGACGUUUCUUAUAAAUUAAUAGGGGGGUACUGCGUCCGGAAUUCUUAUCAGGGGGGAAACGACUCACCAAUGAUGGAGUUGUAGAAUUAUCCGUAGACCGGGGAGGCAGUGGGGAGGUUUCUUGGUGGGCUUGUGUGCCGGGCAUCUGGGAAGAAGGCGGCGGAGUGAUGGAAGGGUUGUGGCCAGGGUGAGGUGAUAGGUUCUGGAGGGCAUCUAUCCUGCCCAGGAUUGGGUUGAGGAUGGUAGAGGAAUUUGAAAGAUUAGGAGGGGCUAAUGGGCUAUGAUUACCACUUCUCAGGUGCAUAUGGGGCUAUUUGUAGCCGUUGCGGCUGCCCAGAAGAGCUCAAGAUUAUUGGUGAGGCAGCAAGGUUCUGUGCACUUGCUUUUUGAGCAGGAAAGUUAUCGAUCAAAGAUAAGAUAAAAUAAUUCAUUUAUUAGUUUUUAUCAAUAUCAAAAAGAUAUUCGAAAACUUCAGGUUGACACAGCAAUUUUGUGGGGGGGAAAUGGCGGAAAAUAAGGAAGGGUGAAAGGAGGAUAUAUAUAGCCGAGCAUCUGGCUUUAAGAAGACACCAGAAGGAACAUGGCCUCCGAGGAUGAUGCCUGCUACCAGUCUGAUCCAUCUGUAUAUGCUGUUAAAUAAUUUCUCUGAUCGUAUAAACCAAUUGUGUCAAGUCCUUUCUUUUUGAGUAUGUUUUUGUUCUCUUUUUUAUUGCAGGGUUCAUUCAGGUUAAGAUUGAUGAGUACAUUUGAUGGCAAUGGGGUAGGAAAUAUUGGUUCUUAUUGAAUUGGAAACUCCUUUACACAAAAGUUACUAUUACAGGUUAACACAUAAAGUUGCAAUAAUCUAGGGCCUAGAGUAAUAGUAACUAAACACACAAAAAUCGCACUCAAAAAAAAAAAAAAGAUAAAUAAUAAAUCACAAUUUGUUAGAUAAAAUAAAAAAAAAAAACACACACACACACAGUACUUAUCUUUAUUGUUUUUUUUUUUUUAUAAUCAAAGUAAGUAUUUAUUUACUUCAACAAAACAUUGUAGUUUUACGGCCUGAAUGUGUAAAUAAAGGCUGUUAAAUUUUCAGCUUUCUUCUAACCAAAAUAUCUCUAUAAAUAAAAACAAAUAUAUUGAAGAAGGUACAAAGUGACAUGGAUGGAUUCACAUGUGGCCCCUUGAUGCUCCUCCGGGUUAAUGAAGGGAACGAGGAUUUCCCGCUCGAUGCCGUCGUCCCCAAUAUACUUUAACGUAAUGAAUUGCUGACGAUCCUGUGUGGUCACCACAUGGUCCAACACCACUAUUUUGCUGGGGUCGAUGCGUUGGUUGCCUUGUUGCAUUGGUAGAGAUUGGACCGGGGUUACACAGGUAUGCGAGGAGAUAGCUAGACACGGAUAAAGCACGUGGAGAACACUUUAAGCGUCUCCACACGAUAAUCCACCACACUUCUUUCUCGCAAUUCCAUAGCCCCCUUAUAUAUACAGACAUGGCCACAUUCGUCCAAUGAGAAGGUGGGAGAGAUUGGUCCACUAUCAAACAAAAACAAAAUCUUUCCCACUAAAACCUGAGAUAAGAUUAAAAACAUGCAAAUAUUUGUCAAUAUAAUUUGACACUUGUGUUUCAUAUUUAUGCCCUUUCUAAUAUUGUUGUCGUAUUGAAGUGUUGAAGAUCUUUUGAGUCUUUCUUUUUGUGUCCAGUUUAAAUAGGUUGGUUCUAUGGGAUAUGUGUUCAGUUUCUUUACUUUUUAAGCUAUUGGUGAGUUUUAAUGUUUUUAAUUGUCCUCUGCUUUCGAGUAGGACUAGGCCACAUUCUCUCUGAAUUUUCUCAUUGUUGUUGGAUGAAACAGCACCAGUGAUUAUUUUGGCCGCUUUUGCUUGAACACUGUCUAGUCUUCCUUUUAGUGAUGAACUUGAAUAGUGCUAAGAUUUUGCGAGGUUCGCCUCUGAGUGAUGUAGAGCCUUUUGAACUUGGCGUGUUGGCUCUAAUUUGAGGAAGCUUGGCUGAACUUCAAGUUGUGAGAAUAAGUGUAUGGGAGGUUCAUCUCCGUUGUAGCUGAUCACUUCUUCUGAAUCACGGUUUGAAAGUUGAUAAAGGCAGAAGGUGAGGACUCGAAGAGAUGCAGCUACAGUUGAGUCUGUUGUUGAGUCUUGAGGAACUUGGACGUGGGUUUGUCAAAACAUCCAGGUCUUCUUGUUUUCUUCAUACUUUAGUAGAUAUGGGAAUUGUUGUAGUUCAAGAGAAUAUUUACCCUUUUAUAAUAUGACUCUUAAUUUUUAUUUUGCAAUAAAUGCAAUAAUUUUUUAAGAAAAAAAAAGGCUUGCACAAUUUAAGCCUUAUCAUGAUUCUAUUAUCUAUCUUCAGACAACACUCAACUCACUAAAAGCUAUAUACAUAUAAAGUAUACAAAACUUUCCUAUAACAAUUAUAUUUACAUACAUUCAACUUUUCUUAACUAAUAUAUUUACAUAUUUCCCAUUAACCUUAUUAAGAUGAUCAUAUACAACAUUCAGCCCCAUGAUCAUCAUUCUUUACACCAAUAUUUACAUAUACCUAAUAACACAAGUAGUGGUGGGACCCUUCUCUGCUCAUCUGAAGUCUUAGAGGAUUCCUUACUUCACAAAUAAUUUCUCAAGGAAAUAAUUCAGUCUUAUAAUUAGGAAGUCGGGGCAAAUUGUUCAGUUUGAAAUUGUUUACAAGUUCUUUUGUUUCGCUUGCCCUCAUUCCACUCGUAGCAUCUUCAUAGCCCUGUCGUCGGCAUCCCAUUGGCUGCCUUGAACUCCUUCUUUUCCGACAGUGUUAAUUGUAGGAAAGGUUCACCCGAUCUGAGAGGAAUGUGGCGUUUAUUUUGGAUCCUUGAAAAGGUUUGCGGAAACCUUAAUUUGGGGAGUGUAUGUGCCUGAUUUGAUUAUACGAGGGUGAGUCAAUAAGUUUUAGGAAAGUGUCCACAAAAAAAAAAAAAAAGAAAGGGGGGAACUUACUUUAUAGAAAAAAAAUUCUACACCAAUCACUGUCCUUUUCAAUGCAUAUAUCCAUUUUUUAACUUGCUUGUCAAAUCCCUGAGAAAAGAAGAUUUGUGGUUGUUCCCUACACCAUUCUUUGGCAUAAUUUCCACCUCCAAAUUUGUCAAGAAUCUUUGUCCACGUUGAGCA
rnacentral:piRNA from 1 species